rnacentral:rRNA from 1 species
GUUGAACGCUGGCGGCAGGCCUAACACAUGCAAGUCGAACGAGUGGCGGACGGGUGAGUAAUGUCUGGGAAACUGCCUGAUGGAGGGGGAUAACUACUGUAAACGGUAGCUAAUACCGCAUACCUUCAGAUGUGCCCAGAUGGGAUUUGCUUGUGGGUGGGGUAACGGCUCACCAAGGCAACGGUCCCUAGCUGGUCUGAGAGGAGGACCAGCAACACGGGAACUGGGACACGGUCCAGAUUCCUACGGGAGGAAGCAGGGGGGAAUAUUGCACAAUGGGCGAAAGCCGGAUGCAGCCAUGCCGCGGGUAUGAAGAAGGCCUUCGGGUUGUAAAGUACUUUCAGCGGGGAGGCGGUACCCGCAGAAGAAGCACCGGCUAACUCCGUGCCAGCAGCCGCGGUAAUUC